rnacentral:rRNA from 1 species
UACGUAGGGUGCGAGCGUUGUCCGGAAUUAUUGGGCGUAAAGAGCUCGUAGGCGGUCUGUCGCGUCGGUCGUGAAAACUUGGGGCUUAACCCUGAGCUUGCGGUCGAUACGGGCAUGACUGGAGUUCGGUAGGGGAGACUAGAAUUCCUGGUGUAGCGGUGAAAUGCGCAGAUAUCAGGAGGAACACCGGUGGCGAAGGCGGGUCUCUGGGCCGAUACUGACGCUGAGGAGCGAAAGCGUGGGGAGCGAACAGG